rnacentral:rRNA from 1 species
GGCGAACGCUGGCGGCGUGCUUAACACAUGCAAGUCGAACGGUGAAAGCGGAGCUUGCUCCGCUGGAUCAGUGGCGAACGGGUGAGUAACACGUGGGCAACCUGCCCCUCACUUCGGGAUAACUCCGGGAAACCGGGGCUAAUACCGGAUAUGACCUCCUUGGGCAUCCUUGGAGGUGGAAAGUUUUUCGGUGAGGGACGGGCCCGCGGCCUAUCAGAUUAGCUAGUUGGUGAGGUAAAGGCUCACCAAGGCGACGAUCUGUAGCGGGUCUGAGAGGAUGAUCCGCCACACUGGAACUGAGACACGGUCCAGACUCCUACGGGAGGCAGCAGUGGGGAAUUUUGGACAAUGGGGGCAACCCUGAUCCAGCCAUGCCGCGUGAGUGAAGAAGGCCUUCGGGUUGUAAAGCUCUUUCGGCCGGGAAGAAAUCGUAUCAGCUAAUACCUGGUGCGGAUGACGGUACCGGCAUAAGAAGCACCGGCUAACUACGUGCCAGCAGCCGCAGUAAUAC